UACGUAGGGGGCUAGCGUUGUCCGGAAUCAUUGGGCGUAAAGCGCGUGUAGGCGGUCCGGUAAGUCCGCUGUGAAAGUCGGGGGCUCAACCCUCGAAUGCCGGUGGAUACUGUCGGGCUAGAGUGCGGAAGAGGCGAGUGGAAUUCCUGGUGUAGCGGUGAAAUGCGCAGAUAUCAGGAGGAACACCAAUUGCGAAGGCAGCUCGCUGGGACGUAACUGACGCUGAGACGCGAAAGCUAGGGUAGCAAACGGG
rnacentral:rRNA from 1 species